GCCUUUCUGGUCGUGACCGGACACGGCAGGGCCUCCCGUGUAAGCCCGCCCUGCCCCCUCCCAAACCGAGGCAAGCCAGAAGCUCUGGGCUCCCCUCUCCCCUCCUGCUCCUGCAGCCGCAGGUGACCGCAGGUGACCACAGGUGACCACAGAGAGGAGUCCCACCGCUCCACUGGGGCCGAGUCGUGGGAGCCCAGUCAGGUCGCCCGCUCUGCGCUCUCCAGCAAUAUUAGAUUGAAAAAUUAAAAGCAAACCAAAGCAAAGCAAAACAGAAUUGGUCAUUCACCACGGUCCAGAAGACCUGGCUGGAGUCCAGGCUCUCCCACUGCAUGCUCACAACUUGACCUUGGGUGACGACUCAACCGUGUGACUCUUCAGUUACCUGCUAGGCCUGCCUCUGACUCUGCAAUGAUACAUGCCAGAGACCAGGAGAAACCCAGCUCGACACACAGCCAUGGAGCAAUAACGGGUGGGGACGGCAGAGUCAUGCCUCUUAAGGAGUCCGGGAACAGCAGGAGGCUGGAAAAUCCCUUCUGGAGAAAGCAAGUGUGUGGUACAGGGGUGCCUGUGUUAGGAACAGGACCAACGUAUGAAGGGGACCAGAAUAUGUCACCCCAAAAUAUGCCACUCUGGCAUAAGGGUUAUUUUGAGCUGAAGGUCACUGAGAGAUAGCAGACGCAGGAGGAGCUCUCUGCCCUCCCCCAUCUGCCUAGAAGUAGGGCCCACAUUUCCCUGGGACGUUUCCUCCCUCUCCUGCACCAGAGACUGGGGUGGCACCAGGGGUCUGCAUCUAAAACAAUGACUAAAUAAUCCUUUUCUACCAGUAGUUUCCCCCAUAUGUUUACUUUCUCACAAUUUAUUGCCAUUAGAAGCCCAAACUCCUUUUCUCUUUUUUUUGUGAGACAGAGUCUCACUCUGUUGCCCAGGCUAGAGUGA